UGGGGCUGUAACUCAGUGGUGGAGUACUUGCCUAGCAUGCAUGAGGCCCUGGGUUCUAUCCCCAGCACCGCAA
rnacentral:tRNA from 1 species